GCAAGCUCAAGGUUUGGGAGUUCCCUGAUCUCUGUGAGGUCAAAGGAGAAGAACCAAGUUGUCGUUGCUGCUGGAAGGAGUUCUUUGGGAGCCCGGCUCUCUGGGGCGCUGCACGUCUAUAGCCUCAGCUAAGAAGGUCAUUCUACUUCCUCCCCUGGCCCUGGGUCCCCUGCUAAGUUGUCGCCAGGGUGAGCAUUCUGGUGGAGAAGAUGGCGCAUCCAGGGGAGCCGUGGUGGGGCUCCUGAAGUAGACUCGCAAUUUCCUAGAAAUAAACUGACUCCAUCAGGAGUUUGAAAUAGCAGACACUCUGGUUAUGCUUAG
rnacentral:lncRNA from 1 species